AAAGUUGCAAAGCACUUUGAAGAGAGAGUUAAAGAGGACGUGAAACCGAUGAGAUCGAAACGGAUAGAGUCAGCGUAUCUGACCUGUAUUCAGUCACACAUCUGUCAGUCGUCAUGUGUUGAUUUCCAGACUGGGACAGUGUGUGGCUAGCUGAUUGUUGUGUGGUGCAUUUGCAGGUGGAGUGCGUCGAGACGCUCGGUGUGGCGACAUGAGCUCAGUUUUGAGGCCAGCUUGCUGGUACCCGAAUUGGAGGAAUGUUGUUCACGCUGAGUGGAAUUGGCAAGGCCUACGAGUCCGGUUGGGCAUCGAGCUGGCAGUCGGCGUCGGUCGCAUGCGACACGUGCUGUGCAGUCAGUUCGGUCCUAGUCGAGCUCACAAGCCUAUUCUCGGCGUAAAAGCUGGUCAUCUAUCCGACCCGUCUUGAAACACGGACCAAGGAGUUUAUCGUGUGCGCAAGUCAUUGGGCGUUGAAAACCCAAAGGCGCAAUGAAAGUGAACGCAUCCGCAAGGAGCUGACGUGCGAUCCCGGGUACUGCGGUGCCCGAGCGCAGCAUGGCCCCAUCCCGAUUGCUUGCAAUGGGGUGGAGGAAGAGCGUACGCGGUGAGACCCGAAAGAUGGUGAACUAUUCCUGAGCAGGAUGAAGCCAGAGGAAACUCUGGUGGAAGUCCGAAGCGAUUCUGACGUGCAAAUCGAUCGUCUGACUUGGGUAUAGGGGCGAAAGACUAAUCGAACCAUCUAGUA
rnacentral:rRNA from 1 species